GUCUCUUUGCAUUUAUAGUCCAUAGGCAGAGCCGAGUUGUGGGCUUUAUCGUUAAUGUUGCUCUCAGCUUCCACCUAUGUAAUGUGCUACAGCUUUGCAUGAUUCACCAUGUCGCUUGCCUGUUUUGUUUCUUCAUUUCUUGUUUUAACAUGUGGGCAAAUUAGAAACACAUUUUAAAAUUAAAUUAAGCUUUUCCUCCUCCACUUUAUUGUUCAAGUACAACAUCUCAAGGCUCUACCACAUGUGUUCUUUGUACUGCAUAGUUUUGUGUUCGUACGAUGAGAUUAUUAUAAUAAGCUUGAAUUGAAAGAUAUUUCUUCCUCUACAUCGUUAUCAUAUAAUAUUUGGCACUUGUUCAUAUUUCCCAUCCAAUGAGUUCACCAAGUUUGAGGCUUGUAUUAGAUGUAUAUGAAGUAUAUGUUAAGCAAUUUUUUGGCGUCAUUGUCAAAUAAAGUGAAGCCUGUAUUAGAUGUAUGGUCACUAAUUUGGAAUCGAAUACCAUACCUUCCAUACCACUGUAAUUAGUGCAGAGUAAAAAUAAUAGUAAUGUUCUUGUUCAAUUAGUAGAAUAUAUUCUUACCCAGUGUUAAUACUUGUCAGUACCAUUCAUAGCUAGUUCGUGACAAUCAUCACAUGGCAUUUACCACCAUUGAAUAUUUUUUUGUAAUAUAUCUAUAGUAGCUAUUGCCGUGAACAGAAAAUCCUACAAUAGUUUCCCAAAAACUCAAAAGUUAGCAAUCUGAAGAAACCGGGAGGCAUAAAUAACUCAAACAUGGUUCCAUUAUACCUGAUACAACUCAAUUGCCACUUCAGGUCUUAAGAGUCAUGUUUUUCUCCAAAGUGAUGAUGUCAUAUCUUAGAAGACGUCAUUACGUAAAUUGUCUAUUUUUGUCCUGGUAAGUUCUUGUAAUGUUCUCCUUUUUUAAAACUUGUGUUCUUCUAAUGUUCCUUGGGUGCUUAUAUAUAUCUUCAUAAUUCUUUUUAAAGUUUCUUCUCCUGGCUACCGAAAACAUGAAUUAAACAACUAUAAUUAUUAUUUUACUUUCAUGAAUAAACAUGAGUCCCGAUUCAUUUGUUGAUAAUAAUAAAAGAUGGUGGUCUAUCACUGUCAAGAAUUUUCCGAGCUUUGGGUAUAUCUUUAUCUUUAUGUAUUCUUGUGGCACUCAUUUACGUUAGGAACAAUCCUAUUUAAUAAGUGAGAAAUCUAUUAGUUAUUUAUUGCAAAUAACAUAAGAUGGUGUAACGUUACUGGACUUGCCAUUGAAAUUUUGCACCAUUGUUGAGGUCACAAUAAGGAUAGAUUGGUUGCCGAUACAUCGUCUUAAAAAAACUUCUCUGUAACGUAACUCUGAUUUAUCACCAGCCCUGUAGAGUUUAAGUCAAAAAAGUCAAUGCUAACCUCAAUGGUGGAAGUGUUCUUUCUUGUAAUUCUGAUUCGACAUGCUUCAUUUGGGUGAGUAAUCUGAUGAUAGCUAUAAAAUUUGGAGGUCAAUUACUUUUAAGUUUGAAAGAUCAAGUUCAUUCUUAUUCGAACUAUAAAGUAUAGACAUACCUCGGCGUUGUUUAUCUUUCACAACCCGUUCUUGUAAUGUUUCCUUUCUAGCAAACAUGAAGUAGUAAUCUGGAAAUCAUUCCAACGAUCCUUUUGGUUCCUUUGCCUUUGUAUUGCACAAAAAAAAUAGUUUCAAUGCUCAAUUUGUGAUAGUUUGUGGAUUCCACAACCUUAAAAUUACUAAAUUCAUCAAAAGAUUUCUCAUUUGUUUUUGUCAAGAAGUGUAUCAAAUUCCUCCAAAUAGUAGCAUGAUUUUUUCUUUUAGAAUAUUGAUAGUAGCAUGAAUUGUUUGGCCUGUCAAAACAAUCAAAAUAUGCUUAGCAGUAGUUGUUUAAAAUGAUAGAACAAUUUGCAUUUAAAUAUUUGAUGAAUAAACCUUUUCGUCCAUGCACAUCAGUGUUAGGAUUGAUAUUCUCACUACUUUCACUUCAUUGUUCCAGUUUGGUCCUGUGUUAUUAAGGCGAUAAGAUUCUAGCAUGCAAUUGUGUUUUGGCUGCAGAUGGGAUUAGAAAUUGUUAGUCAAUUGAUAAUGUACCUAUGAAGAUUUCUUCAUGAAUAAGUGAAUUCAGUUAAUAAUAUUACGUACCAUGGUGAUUCAAGUCUCAUCGGUCAGUCGUUGGGUUUGCGCGCCAAGUCGUGGUUUUGGCUGAUUUUGAUAUUUUCUCGGCGUCAGAAAUCAGCAGCCUUCUGGUUAACAGACUUUCGGUUCCUGAAUCUGAAU
rnacentral:lncRNA from 1 species